rnacentral:rRNA from 1 species
GAUGGACGCUGGCGGCGUGCCUAAUACAUGCAAGUCGAGCGAACGGACGAGAAGCUUGCUUCUCUGAUGUUAGCGGCGGACGGGUGAGUAACACGUGGAUAACCUACCUAUAAGUCGGGGAUAACUACGGGAAACCGUAGAUAAUACCGGAUAAUAUUCUGAACCGUGUGGUUCAUAAGAGAAUGACGGCCUUGCUGUCUCUUAUAGCUGGAUCCGCGCUGCAUUAGCUAGUUGGUAAGGUAACGGCUUACCAAGGCAACGAUGCAUAGCCGACCUGAGAGGGUGAUCGGCCACACUGGAACUGAGACACGGUCCAGACUCCUACGGGAGGCAGCAGUAGGGAAUCUUCCGCAAUGGGCGAAAGCCUGACGGAGCAACGCCGCGUGAGUGAUGAAGGUCUUCGGAUCGUAAAACUCUGUUAUUAGGGAAGAACAUAUGUGUAAGUAACUGUGCACAUCUUGACGGUACCUAAUCAGAAAGCCACGGCUAACUACGUG